GAUGAACGCUGGCGGCGUGCCUAAUACAUGCAAGUCGAGCGAACGGACGAGAAGCUUGCUUCUCUGAUGUUAGCGGCGGACGGGUGAGUAACACGUGGAUAACCUACCUAUAAGACUGGGAUAACUUCGGGAAACCGGAGCUAAUACCGGAUGAUAUUUUGAACCGCAUGGUUCAAAAGUGAAAGACGGUCUUGCUGUCACUUAUAGAUGGAUCCGCGCUGCAUUAGCUAGUUGGUAAGGUAACGGCUUACCAAGGCAACGAUGCAUAGCCGACCUGAGAGGGUGAUCGGCCACACGGGAACUGAGACACGGCCCAGACUCCUACGGGAGGCAGCAGUAGGGAAUCUUCCGCAAUGGGCGAAAGCCGGACGGAGCAACGCCGCGUGAGUGAUGAAGGUCUUCGGAUCGUAAAACUCUGUUAUUAGGGAAGAACAUAUGUGUAAGUAACUGUGCACAUCUUGACGGUACCUAAUCAGAAAGCCACGGCUAACUACGUG
rnacentral:rRNA from 1 species